rnacentral:rRNA from 1 species
UGGUGCCCAAGCCCAAGGGGAAACACCUGAUCCCAUUCCGAACUCAGUAGUGAAGUCCUUGGGGCCGAUGGUAGUCCUACC